rnacentral:rRNA from 1 species
AAAUGCGUAGAUAUCGGGAGGAACACCAGUGGCGAAGGCGGUCUCUUGGGCAUGCUCUUGACGCUGAAGGUGAAAGCUAGUGGAGCGAACGGGAUUAGAAACCCCGGUAGUCCUAGCUGUAAACGAUGGAUGCUAGGUGUGGGGGGUGUAGAUUCCCUCCGUGCCGCAGUUAACGCGUUAAGCAUCCCGCCUGGGGAGUACGGCCGCAAGGCUAAAACUCAUACGAAUUGACGGGGGCCCGCACAAGCAGCGGAGCGUGUGGUUUAAUUAGAUGGUACACGAAGAACCUUACCUGGGCUUGACAUACAGGUAGUAGUGAAGUGAAAGCGGAUCGAUCCUUCGGGGAGCCUGUACAGGUGAUGCAUGGCGGUUGUCAGCUCGUGCCGUGAGGUGUCGGGUUAAGUCCCGUAACGAGCGCAACCCUUGCUCUUAGUUAUACGUGUCUAAGAGGACUGCCGGCGGUAAGCCGGAGGAAGGUGGGGAUGACGUCAAGUCAGCAUGGCCUUUAUGUCCAGGGCUACACACACGCUACAAUGGCCGGUACAAUGGGUAGCUAAACCGCGAGGUGGAGCCAAUCCUGUAAAGCCGGUCUCAGUUAGAAUUGCAGGCUGCAACUCGCCUGCAUGAAGUUGGAGUUGCUAGUAAUCGCAGGUCAGCAAUACUGCGGUGAAUACGUUCCCGGGCCUUGUACA